CCUGCCCCUAGGGGCACUGCAGAUGUGGCUGCCGUGUCACAUACACAUCAGUAGGUGGCAGAGAGGAGAGAGGCUGUGUCUGCACUCAGUGUUCCGACCUAUGGACAUCUGAAGAUCAGUAGCCUAACACU